rnacentral:rRNA from 1 species
AUUGAACGCUGGCGGCGUGCUUAACACAUGCAAGUCGUGCGGUAACAGGCGUAGCAAUACGUGCUGACGAGCGGCGAACGGGUGCGUAAUACAUGGGAAUCUGCCUUUUAGUGGGGAAUAACCCGGCGAAAGCCGGGCUAAUGCCGCAUAAGAUCUUCGGAUGAAAGCGGGGGAUCGUAAGACCUCGCGCUGAUAGAUGAGCCCAUGCCGGAUUAGCUAGUGGUGAGGUAACGGCUCACCAAGGCGACGAUCCGUAGCUGGUCUGAGAGGACGGCCAGCCACACUGGGACUGAGACACGGCCCAGACUCCUACGGGAGGCAGCAGUGGGAAUAUUGGACAAUGGGGAAACCCUGAUCCAGCGACGCCGCGUGUGUGAAGAAGGCCUGCGGGUUGUAAAGCACUUUCGGU